UGAAAUUUAAAGCUUGGAAAGUAAGGGAAUGUAAGUGUACCAUUGUGGCUGUUUGUUAACUCUUGAGGAAUGCUGGAAUUCAUGCCUGGUUUAUGGAAUAAUGAUGUUAAAAUGUGUUGGUUGUUAUGAUAGUUUGAGUGCAUGUAUGAUGGUGUGAAGUUGGAUAUGUAAAUGAGCAUGAAUUGGUGAUUGAAUUGUUGUAAAUUGAGUUGGACAAAUUCUGCACUUGUUGGUGCACAUUGAAUGUAAUUGUAAGCUGCCAAAAUGACCUAUAAUAUAUUGUAAAUUAUGUUUAGGUUGUGGUACAACCAGAAUUGGUUUGAAUGUUGAGUUUGGAAAGUGUUAAAAGUGAUGCUUGAUGUGUAUGUAAGAAUUUCAAUAAGGCAGUUUGAAUUUUAGGCCUAGAACUUUAAGUGUGUGGC
rnacentral:misc_RNA from 1 species